rnacentral:rRNA from 1 species
AACGAACGCUGGCGGCAGGCUUAACACAUGCAAGUCGAACGAAAAGUUACUUUCGGGUAAUGGAUUCGUGGCGGACGGGUGAGUAUAACAUAGAGAUCUACCGAGCAGUGGGGGAUAACAGUUGGAAACGACUGAUAAUACCGCAUACGCCAUAUUGGGAAAACGAUAGUGCUGUUCGAUGAGUCUAUGCCAGAUUAGCUAGUUGGUGGGGUAAAGGCCUACCAAGGCGACGAUCUGUAGCUGGUUUGAGAGGAUGAGCAGCCACACUGGGACUGAGACACGGCCCAGACUCCUACGGGAGGCAGCAGUGAGGAAUAUUGCACAAUGGAGGAAACUCUGAUGCAGCCAUGCCGCGUGAAUGAAGUAAGGUUUUAGGAUUGUAAAGUUCUUUCAGUGGUGAGAAUAGUGA